rnacentral:misc_RNA from 1 species
GAUGAAGAACGCAGCGAAAUGCGAUAAGUAAUGUGAAUUGCAGAAUUCAGUGAAUCAUCGAAUCUUUGAACGCACAUUGCGCCCUCUGGUAUUCCGGGGGGCAUGCCUGUUCGAGCGUCAUUACAACCCUCAAGCUUUGCCUGGUAUUGGACAUUGCCAGUUUCUGGCAGGUCUUAAAAUCAGUGGCGGUGCCAUUUGGCUUCAAGCGUAGUAAUUCUUCUCGCUUUGGAGAUCCAAGUGGUUACUUGCCAAUAACCCCCAAUUUUUUCAGGUUGACCUCGGAUCAGGUAGGGAUACCCGCUGAACUUAAGCAUAUCAAUAAGCGGAGGA